GAAUGAGUUCGGACGUCCUCGCCGGGCAUAUGAGCGCCACAGCGGCACAGGCCGUGGCUACGGGAUGAAGCGUGAAGGGGCUGGGCGUGGAAAUUGGGGAACUGCAACUGAUGAAGGCCUUGAACAGGACACUGUGGAUGCUGUUAAUCCUGAGGAAACUACUGCC